rnacentral:lncRNA from 1 species
UUAUGUAGUUUUUGGGUUUUUAUUGCCCUUAAAUAUCUAUUUAUAGAUUUUCUAAAUCAAAUCUAAUUAACCAGAUUAAACCAUGAAAAAUCUGGAUAAAAGCUUAUUUUUAAAUGCCAAACGCAAUUUUUCCAGUCGCAAUAGCUAUCUUCCCAUCACUGCGUUUUCAUCAAUCUGCGUUUUCAUCAAUCUGCGUUUGAUCUAACAACUUUCAAGAUUUUCACCUUCCCUUCUUUCUAGAAAGCUUCAGUUGAAACCGUGGAGUAUAUGAACAAACCAUGGAAUGGAGUUGAAGAGAAAUGGAGAGCAGGGCCUCUCUUGCGUUACAAACUUACAGACCAUGGAGAGCAAUGUAAGUUAAAGACUUGACUUGCAGUUUAACAUCUCUCUUAUUUGUCAAAUUUAAGAGAUACGUAUGGCGAUGAAGAAAAAAGAUCGUGGGUCGUGCUGAGAAACUGCUGAUAGGAUGUGUUUUUUUUUCUAAAAAUUAUCUUGUUUUAAUUGAAAUUUUUUAUUAAGUUAUGCUCCUCCGCGUGUUCAGGACCGCAAUCUUCGUCGUGUUGUGGGUCGUGCUCAGCUCCUCUCUCGUUGCCACAGGCUAUUUCCUCCAUGAAUUUAACAGGCCAUGACCAUCUCUUCUUCAUCCGCCGCGAUUCAAGCUUCUACUGUCGCCGGUUCAUCAUCAACGCCUCGCCGUCGUAGCCAACGGAGAUCGGGAUCUCGGAAUCGCAGAGAAAGCUUGACCACGAGCAACCGUGGUCAACUUUAGCUUAUUUGCGCAUCUGGUCCUUUCUCUUUCAGAUAUUAUCAAAUUGACCCAGAAACCUUUGAAAAUGCUAAUACGUCCUCACGAAUCAACCCCAAACUUUCGAUUAAACAUUCUACACCUCCUCCUAAUUGAACAAUGGUCCCUCCUCUUUUGGUGGUUUUCAAAGCGGCCACAAACUUUGUAAUUUGCAAGAUUAACCUCACGAGUUUGCCCCAAACUUCUCAAACGUGCACUUUAGUUUCUGUCAAAUGCAAAUGAACAUAUAAAUGCAAUACAUACAUCUAAAUGUUUCCUAAAAUAAUUAAAAUGAACUAAAAACAAGUGUUAAAAAGCUAUAAAAACAU